rnacentral:rRNA from 1 species
UACGGAAGGCAGCAGUGGGGAAUAUUGCACAAUGGGCGAAAGCCUGAUGCAGCUAUGCCGCGUGUAUGAAGAAGGCCUUAGGGUUGUAAAGUACUUUCAUCGGGGAGGAAAAACAAAACUAAUAAUUUUAUUUCUUGACGUUACCCGAAAAAGAAGCACCGGCUAACUCCGUGCCAGCAGCCGCGGUAAUACGGAGGGUGCUAGCGUUAAUCAGAAUUACUGGGCGUAAAGAGCACGUAGGUGGUUUUUUUAAGUCAGAUGUGAAAUCCCCUGGGCUUAACCUAGGGACUGCAUUUUUGAAACUGAAAUACUAGAGUAUCGUAGAGGGAGGUAGAAUUCUAGGUGUAGCGGUGAAAUGCGUAGAUAUCUGGAGGAAUACCUGUGGCGAAAGCGGCCUCCUAAACGAAUACUGACACUGAGGUGCGAAAGCGUGGGGAGCAAACAGGGAUUAGAUACC